rnacentral:rRNA from 1 species
GAAAAAUGGGCGGCGGCCUAACACAUGCAAGUCGAGCGGAAACGAGUUAACUGAACCUUCGGGGAACGUUAACGGCGUCGAGCGGCGGACGGGUGAGUAAUGCCUGGGAAAUUGCCCUGAUGUGGGGGAUAACCAUUGGAAACGAUGGCUAAUACCGCAUAAUAGCUUCGGCUCAAAGAGGGGGACCUUCGGGCCUCUCGCGUCAGGAUAUGCCCAGGUGGGAUUAGCUAGUUGGUGAGGUAAUGGCUCACCAAGGCGACGAUCCCUAGCUGGUCUGAGAGGAUGAUCAGCCACACUGGAACUGAGACACGGUCCAGACUCCUACGGGAGGCAGCAGUGGGGAAUAUUGCACAAUGGGCGCAAGCCUGAUGCAGCCAUGCCGCGUGUAUGAAGAAGGCCUUCGGGUUGUAAAGUACUUUCAGCAGUGAGGAAGGUGGGUAUGUUAAUAGCAUACACAUUUGACGUUAGCUGCAGAAGAAGCACCGGCUAACUCCGUGCCAGCAGCCGCGGUAAUACGGAGGGUGCGAGCGUUAAUCGGAAUUACUGGGCGUAAAGCGCAUGCAGGUGGUUUGUUAAGUCAGAUGUGAAAGCCCGGGGCUCAACCUCGGAAUUGCAUUUGAAACUGGCAAACUAGAGUACUGUAGAGGGGGGUAGAAUUUCAGGUGUAGCGGUGAAAUGCGUAGAGAUCUGAAGGAAUACCGGUGGCGAAGGCGGCCCCCUGGACAGAUACUGACACUCAGAUGCGAAAGCGUGGGGAGCAAACAGGAUUAGAUACCCUGGUAGUCCACGCCGUAAACGAUGUCUACUUGGAGGUUGUGGCCUUGAGCCGUGGCUUUCGGAGCUAACGCGUUAAGUAGACCGCCUGGGGAGUACGGUCGCAAGAUUAAAACUCAAAUGAAUUGACGGGGGCCCGCACAAGCCGUGGAGCAUGUGGUUUAAUUCGAUGCAACGCCGAAGAACCUUACCUACUCUUGACAUCUACAGGAGCCAGCGGAGACGCAGGUGUGCCUUCGGGAACUGUAAAACAAGGUCCUUCA